ACUCGUAGACUCCUACGGGAGGCAGCGUGGGGGAAUAUCACAUGGGCGCAAGCCUGAUGCAGCAACGCCGCGUGAGGGAUGACGGCCUUCGGGUUGUAAACCUCUUUUAGCAGGGAAGAAGCGAAAGUGACGGUACCUGCAGAAAAAGCGCCGGCUAACUACGUGCCAGCAGCCGCGGUAAUACGUAGGGCGCAAGCGUUAUCCGGAAUUAUUGGGCGUAAAGAGCUCGUAGGCGGUUUGUCGCGUCUGCUGUGAAAUCCCGAGGCUCAACCUCGGGUCUGCAGUGGGUACGGGCAGACUAGAGUGCGGUAGGGGAGAUUGGAAUUCCUGGUGUAGCGGUGGAAUGCGCAGAUAUCAGGAGGAACACCGAUGGCGAAGGCAGGAUCUCUGGGCCGUAACUGACGCUGAGGAGCGAAAGGGUGGGGAGCAAACAGGCUUAGAUACCCUGGUAG
rnacentral:rRNA from 1 species